UGUGUGUGUGUGUGUGCGCGCGCAUGUUGACGACGCCGACGAUGCCACCCAAGAAGAAGAAAGGGGACAUAAGAAGCUUUUUCAUAAAGCAGAGUCAGAGUUCUGAAAUAAAAAAGGAAAUCACCAUUAAAUCACUGGUAUCUUACAACAAAAGAAUUCCGGGGGGGUGUCCCCACCAAAGCUGAGACCAAACCUACGCCCAUGGACCCUCAUGAUGGCAUUGCAAAAACACUCUACUACAACAACUCUUCCUCUUCUCCAAAGCAGCCCAACAUGGCCUUGCCCCCUCUGUUGCGUGGGGCAGGGUUUAUGUAAAUUUUGGGAACCCUGUUGGAAAUUCUGGCUAACACCAUCUUCAGAUAAUAGAUGGUUUUGCCUGUUGCUGGUCCAAGCUGAUCUUGAUAUCCCCGUUUACGUCUGACAAACAGAAAAAUACUACCAAAGCAGACCACGUGAUCAGAAGAGCAAAGAACAAAGAAAUGAAGGGAGUAUACAAGAUGUGAGUUUUUCAUACACUGAAUUUUACCAUGAAUGAUCAGAGCAUAAGAGGACACAACAGGGAACCUUCCCAUAAUGCACUUGCAACAGCAGGGUCAGUCUGUCUGCAGCUGGACCGCAAGGCCAAAACCCAUUGUCUAGGCCUGAUAGAAAAAGAUCAAAUAGAUUCUACAGAGAUUAUUAAGAGUGCACAGUAUAGAUAUUCAGACAGAGAGGACAGCAGGCUGACAGAAGUGAGUUGGAUGUGAGAAUAAAGCAACGGCUCGAGUGCAGCAAACCGUAAAGUGCGCUGAAAAAUUAUCAAUAUAUUAUUCGGUCACAGGUGAACUUAAUACUUAUCCAAACUGCAUGGUGCAAAUUUUCAAAGGCUUGUCCACUCCAUUUUUAAGUAUCCUUUGACAAGAAACUGACCUCUGUGAGUUAUUUCACAUGCUUAGACCUCUUUAGUUACAAAGAAAUUAUGUAUCAAAGGUCUUCGGUAAGCGUCAAAUCGUUUAUCGUUUCUCCUGCUGUCAAGCCUCCGUUCUUGACAAAAGCAUUCCCUGAGGGGUGUGAGACGAAUAACACAGAGGAAACCUCUCGUUUUCAUCUUCCGCAACUCCCCCAUGUCUCCAUUUCACAUGGUUCGUGUUGCUGUGAUCUUCUGAAUUUCUUUGCAUGUAACAGAUCUUGUCACAGUGAUACAGAAUAAUGUACAAAGGUUUAGUACUUGGUGCUCUCGGUAUGUGAGAGAAAACUGGCGAAUUGGCGGAGGUCUUUGUGGUUGGCUCUGCUUUAAUAGUUGGCAUGGGAUUUUGAUGUUUGUUAUUGCACAGUUGGAUUAAAUGCCACAGGAGCCAAGAUCACCCUAUCCAUGAAGAGUUUUGACAAGCAUUUAAUUUCACAUUUAAUCUCCUAUUGAAACAGGAAGUGAUUCCAUACAGUA